rnacentral:rRNA from 1 species
GGCCAGCAGCCGCGGUAAUACGUAGGGUGCGAGCGUUAAUCGGAAUUACUGGGCGUAAAGCGUGCGCAGGCGGUGAUGUAAGACAGAUGUGAAAUCCCCGGGCUCAACCUGGGAACUGCAUUUGUGACUGCAUCGCUGGAGUGCGGCAGAGGGGGAUGGAAUUCCGCGUGUAGCAGUGAAAUGCGUAGAUAUGCGGAGGAACACCGAUGGCGAAGGCAAUCCCCUGGGCCUGCACUGACGCUCAUGCACGAAAGCGUGGGGAGCAAACAGGAUUAGAUACCCUGGUAGUCCACGCCCUAAACGAUGUCAACUGGUUGUUGGGUCUUCACUGACUCAGUAACGAAGCUAACGCGUGAAGUUGACCGCCUGGGGAGUACGGCCGCAAGGUUGAAACUUAAAGGAAUUGGCGGGGGAC